rnacentral:sRNA from 1 species
UCUGGUUGUAGAGUUGACCACGGGAGCCC